UUGCAGUUAAAAAGCUCGUAGUUGGAUUUCUGGUUUGAUGCCCUGGCCCGCUGCUAUUUUGGUAGUGUGUGCCGGUUGUGCGUCUGCCAUCCUUCUAGGGAACGUUCCUUCUCUUCACUGAGCCGGGUUCGUGAUCUAGAUCGUUUACUUUGAAAAAAUUAGAGUGUUUAAAGCAGGCUUUUGCUAUGAAUACAUUAGCAUGGAAUAAUAAUCUAGGACUUCGGUCAUAUUUUGUUGGUUUCUGUAACUGAAGUAAUGAUUGAUAGGGAUAGUUGGGGGUGCUAGUAUUGAGCGGCCAGAGGUGAAAUUCUUGGAUUCGCUCAAGACUAACUUAUGCGAAAGCAUUCACCAAGGAUGUCUUCUUUAAUCAAGAACGAAAGUUGGGGGAUCGAAGACGAUCAGAUACCGUCGUAGUCUCAACCAUAAACUAUGCCAACUAGGGAUGGGUGAACGUUGCAUUUUCGACUUCAUCUGCACCUUUAUGAGAAAUCAAAGUUUUUGGGUUCCCGGGGGGAGUAUGGUCGCAAGGCUGAAACUUAAAGGAAUUGACGGAAGGGCACCACCAGGAGUGGAGCCUGCGGCU
rnacentral:rRNA from 1 species